CGGUUCACGAAGUCCGGGAAUCUUUUCAUGACCUGGUCUACAGUUUCACGCGUAUUAAAGAUCCGGCGGUGUCUGACAAAGCGUCGGGUGAUUGUUCAUAUCUGUCAUUUAAAAUAAAGUUAAUAAAUGUAAUUCUGUCCACUAUGGCAAAAUAGGAAUUUAUUUUAGAUUUAGGGGAAUCUUUAACCAUGUCUCUGAUUAAAACUUUUGAUUGUAACAUCACAAGUUAUUUAAUUAAAUAUUCUGUAUACGGGUAUAGUUUAAGCAAUGACCUGAGCCAUUACCUUCGGAGCCGUCAAUACUACAUUCUUUAGACGAUAGUCUAAACUAAAUAAAUUUUUAAACGGUUCAGGAAUUCCGUGAAUCUUUUCAUAACCUGCACUAUAGUUUCACGCGUAUUAAAGAUCCGGCGGUGCCUGACAAAGCGCCGGGUGAGUGUUCAUAUCUGCCAUUUUAAAAUAAUGUUAAUAAAUGUAAUUCUGUCCACUAUGGCAAAAUAGGAUUUUAUUUUAGAUUUAGUGGAAUCUUUAACCAAGUCUCUGAUUAAGACAUGUGUAUACGUGCACAGAUGGUGACAGAGAAACUUAUAUAUGACGUUAAUAAUCUUUUAAAUGUUUUUAAGACGUAUUCACCCCAUUUUGGGGUUUUAUUUUUAAUUAAAGGCUUCUUAAAACAUGUGUGAAUAUGUGUAUAUUAUACAAAGAGUCUUAUAUUGUCUGCUCUGACAAAAAUAAAGUAUUUUUUAGGUUUAGGGGAAUUGACUGCGUGUGUCUUAUAAAUACAACUUGAUAAUACGUUUGUUUUGUAAAGAGACUUCUUUAAAGUCACGCAAGAAUAAAAUAUUUUAGUUGUAACUGGUUAAACUUAAAGCCGAUAUUUUCUAUCGAACUAGUCUAUUUUCUGUUCAGACACAAAGUUUUCUGAUGCUGAUAUUAUGUCAGUGUGUGUUUGUGUGGGGGUCGUGUGAUGUAAUCUUUGAAAGUUUAUGACCGAACCUUUAUUGGGGAGCGACAAGAGAUCUCCCGGAAUCAGUUUGGAUGGAGCAGAGCUGUUAUACUCAAGUCUAUUGGUAUGUAUGUGUUUCGCUGUGUUCGUUCCAGUAUUUUGUAUGAUUUAUUUAAAAACUAAAAAUUCGAUCUCUGGUAUUGCAGCGAAAUUGUCUAAACUGGUAUUAACUAUUCCUGGUAAAUCGCGGAGAAGAGUGGCCUGAACAAAAAAGUCAGACCGAGACUAGAACCUCCCGCAGCGUAACACGGAAAUCUUGGAACAAAAGAGACGCCGACUGGCUCGUGUUGUCCGGUUUGGAUAUCAGAGGCAAAGCGAACGUUGUGUGUACUAUUGCAAAAUAUAUAGCGGAUCUCCACGGUUAGGAUACAGACCACAACGCUUUGGACGUAUCUUUAAAAAAGAUUAAAAUCAGAGACUUUUUGGAUUUGUCUGGGGACAUUUUAAACAUUUUGUGGCAAAUUGGAUUUAAAACAUUUCGGAUACUGGAUACCUAGUUUGAUUUGUCCACAGAGCUUGUUUAAGACGUUUUCACCGCAUUUUAGGGUUUAUUUUUAAUUAAAGGCUUCUUAAAACAUGUGUGAAAAUGUGUAUAUUAUACAAUGAGUCUUAUAUUGUCUGCUCUGACAUAAAUAAAUUUUUAUAUUAGAUUUUA